rnacentral:rRNA from 1 species
GCAGCCGCGGUAAUACGGGGGGUGCAAGCGUUGUUCGGAAUCAUUGGGCGCAAAGAGCGUGUAGGCGGCUCGAUCAGUCAGAUGUGAAAGCCCCGGGCUUAACCCGGGAAGUGCAUUUGAAACUGUCUUGCUCGAGUAGGGGAGAGGGAAGUGGAAUUCCUGGUGUAGAGGUGAAAUUCGUAGAUAUCAGGAGGAACACCGGUGGCGAAGGCGACUUCCUGGCCCUAUACUGACGCUGAGACGCGAGAGCGUGGGUAGCAAACAGGAUUAGAUACCCUGGUAGUCCACGCCGUAAACGAUG